CUUGGCUUCUGGACAGGGACAUCCACUGAGACCCCUUGAAUGGGCGCUGAGGUAUGAAGGCACUGCUGGUUUUUAUGCCCCACUGGCUGCCAGGGCAUGCAUACAACCAAUGCCUUUUCAGUCAGUGAGACACACCCCACAGAGGAGGCCAUUCAAUGGCCCAGACAGCCAAGGGGAAUUCCCUCAAUGGCCACCUGACCAUGUGUAUUCUGUUUUCAUUUUACUGUCUUGGGAUGGUCACCAAGCCUGAGGAUCUGCAACAGCUGCCCACGUGGUAGAAGGGGUAUGCGUCCAUUCUAUAAACACUUACCUGGAGUUAAGUCCCAUUGAACUCAGUGGGGCUUACUUCUGAGUAGACAUGCAUAAGAUUGUACUGUAACAGAAUUUAUGGAUGACAAUAAAUUGUUAUUAGAGUACAAUUGUGAGCCUAUUUACUCAGAGGUAAGCUCCACAGAGCUCAAUAGGUCCUACGGUUAAGCUUUCACCCUAAAUACAUCUAUUAGCAAGUAAGCCCCAUUGAAUAUAGUGGAACUUACCCCUGAGUAACCAGGGGCUCAUUGUGUGUUAUUUAUGGCUUAUCUAUCAGUUUGCCCAAACGUUAGGACUGGUAGUUUAUAUUUUAAAAUGUGUGUCAGUUCUUCAUAUUUGUUACCCAACAAAAUAUAUGCCUAAGGAAAACUGGGUCAUAGCUAUGAAUUUUCUACAAGCUUGAGCUGAACUGUGCAUCAUUCCUGGUGUUAUUUUUAUAUUUAUAUGAAGCCAUAUGGCAAACCCACUUUAAUUUCUAUUUUGGUUGCUCUGGAGACUCAUAUUGCUGGCAGAGACUCCAUUACACAGCCACUAUUAAUAGUGGUUAACACCUUUAAAUUGAGCCCUAAUCAAAUUACUUAGUGAUCAAUAAUGCUCCUGCCAACUCCAGCUCCUGUAUAACACACACACACACACACACACACACACACACACACACACCAGUUCCUACAGUUGCUUUGAUAGAAGCAGAAACCUCUCAACUGCUUUUUGAACUUCCACUAAGCUGAAGUCCAGUCCCCAGAACAUCUAGACAAGGGAUUGGGAACCUGUGUUGCUCUCCAUAAGUUGCUGGACUCUAACUCCCAUCAGCCCCAGCUGAUAUGGCCAAUGGCCUUUGAUCACAGUUGCAGUCUAACCACAUCUGAAGGGCCACAGGAUUCUCACCCUUGAUCAAGAACAUAGUCAAUAGCGUCCAGUGGUAAAAACAGCUCUUGCAUGACUCUGCAAGGCAGAGCUUUCAAAACUGUGUGUCGCGACAUAUUAGUAUGUCAGCUGCAGUGUGUAGGCAUGUCCCACGAACACUCCCUACGCUCCUUCCAGGGCUGGAAAGGGGUUCGUUUAACCUCCGGUUUGCUAGUAAAACCAAAUUACUGUGUCACAAAAUGAUGCAUGUCUAAAAACUGUAUCACCAACAUGAAAAGUUUGGAAAGCUCUACUGCAAGGUGUUCAUGAAACCUGAUGGAAGUUCAGAGGUGGCCAAACUCAGACAUCAGUGUGACUACAGAAACAUGCAUAUGCAGUGGUACCUUGGUUGUCAAAUGGCUUGGCUCCCAAAAAAAUCAGCUCCUGGACUCCACAAACCUGGAAGUGAGUGUUCCGUUUGCAAACUUUUUUUGGAAGCCAAACGUCCAAUGUGGCUUCCAGUUUAGUGCAGGAAGCUCCUGCAGCCAAUCGGAAGCUGCACCCUGGUUUUCGAACAGUUCCAGGAGUUGAACGGACUCCUGGAACAAAUUAAAUUGUGUAUUAUGAUGUUAACUGUCAUAAUGUCCUCCAAAUAACCAUGGAAACUGUAUUUUGUUAUGGGUGUUGGGAAGUGUAGCCCUGUUUGGGGUCUCCUAACAACUCUCAGCACCUUUAACAAACUACCACCAACGUGCCCACCAAAGUUGGCUCUUGGGGGAUUAGGAGAACCCCCCCCCCCCAGAACAAGCAUGCAGGUUGAGGAGAGUGUUAUGAGAGCUUGCAGCUUGGGGGAAUUAGACCAAAACAAUCAUUUACAGUUUCAAAGACUUUAUUCAUGCAGGAACAGAUUUAUUUUGGCAGGAACUAUUUACAGGAUCAAUAGAGAUGAUAAGAGUGAAAUAGCAGUCUCUUGUCUCAACAAGUUGGGAGAGAACAACAAAAUGGCUCACCUUUGGGGGGCAGAAUUAACUUACACAGAGGCUACAAACAAGGGAUGGCUAGAUUGCUAAACAAACAGUGCCCUUGUGUGAUUUAAUGUAACACAUGAAAUAACCACAAGCUCAAGAGAAGGAAAUGUAUUUGAUUUUCUUCAACAGAGAGGGGGAGAUCAUUCUGUCUGGCAAGCUGAUUAUCCCUGUUGGAAUUAUCACCUUAGCAUGGUGUCAGAUUCCUCCCUAACCACAAACAUUACAGUGCCAAUAAUACAAUAUCAAUUAUAAUUUACAAAGAACACCAACAUACCACGAAGACAGAAAGCUGUAACUGGAAUUAGUCAAACUUAAUACGAAGAUCAUGGCCACUGGCCCCAUCACCUCCUGGCAAAUAGAAGGGGAAGAAAUGGAGGCAGUGAGAGAUUUUACUUUCUUGGGCUCCAUGAUCACUGCAGAUGGUGACAGCAGCCACGAAAUUAAAAGACGCCUGCUUCUUGGGAGAAAAGCAAUGACAAACCUAGACAGCAUCUUAAAAAGUAGAGACAUCACCUUGCCAACAAAGGUCUGUAUAGUUAAAGCUAUGGUUUUCCCAGUAGUGAUGUAUGGAAGUGAAAGCUGGACCAUAAAGAAGGCUGAUCGCCGAAGAAUUUUUUUGAAUUAUGAUGCUGGAGGAGACUCUUGAGAGUCCCAUGGACUGCAAGAAGAUCAAACCUAUCCAUUCUUAAGGAAAUCAGCCCUGAGUGCUCACUGGAAGGACAGAUCGUGAAGCUGAGGCUCCAAUACUUUGGCCACCUCAUGAGAUGAGAAGACUCCCUGGAAAAGACCCUGAUGUUGGGAAAGAGAAGGGGACAACAGAGGACGAGAUGGUUGGAUAGUGUUCUCGAAGCUACCAGCAUGAGUUUGACCAAACUGCGGGAGGCAGUGGAAGACAGGAGUGCCUGGCGUGCUCUGGUCCAUGGGGUCACGAAGAGUCGGACACGACUAAACGACUAAACAACAACAACAAAUAGGUGACUCUUUGGGAGGAAGGUUGGGUUACAAAUCUAAGCCAGGGGUUCCCAAAAUGUGAGCUUAAUUCAGAUGGUCAGCAACAUGUCUUUGGAUUCGUGGUUGAAGAUGAUAGAUGGCACAUUUAUUGCAUUAAAUAGUCACAUGCAUUUUAAUUGUACUUUUAUUGCUUCUUUUAUUGUAUAUUAGGAAGCAAUAAAAAAUACAAUAAAAAACCAUACUGGGUGGUAUUCACUGUAACUCCAAUUCAGAGUAGACCCAUUGAAAGUGAUAAAUAUUCAUUUCAGUGGGUCUGCUUUGAAUCAAACUUAGUCAAAAUUCUAUAAUCAACAAUCCAAAUAAUAUUCUAAAAACCAACAGCUACCUUAAUAAAAUCCUAUUAAUGAGAAGCCAACCGGAAUAGGUGGGUCUUCAGAGCCAUAAAAGAAACAAAAAAUAUGUCUUAUUAUCUCAGCCAUUUUGAAAGCUGUCUGUGCUCAUUAAUAAGCAAGUUUUGCACCUACCAUUUUAGGGCCAGGACAUAACAUAAUCAGAGUUCUUUUACUGUGUUCUUGCAGGCUGCACAUAUUGGCAGAGUCCUACUGGCACACUGGUUUUGUUGGACUGGUUUCUAUUUUCCUAUGAAGCUUCAGAAAUGUUUUCCGGGUGUGAUGAAAUAUUUUGAACGCAAAGCAUCUGCUGCCUGUGAACUUUUUAAAAAAGGACUUCUAAGUCAAUACACUUUUUAAACACAACUUUUAAAAUUUGUGUUGUAAACCCUCUGUGACUUUAAUAAUUUCCUACUAACCUUGGAGAAAACACAGACUGCCAGCAGCUUUCUCGUGGCACAGGGCUCUUCCUAGUAGAUUUAUAAAUGUUGCAGCAGUCAGCUUUGUAUAGAACUUGUGGGGCAACUAGGUUUAAGCCACUGGUUGGAUUUAUACUUGGAGUUUGCAAAAUUAAAUUUGGUCCAUGUUCUAUAAUAGCCACACUUGCAUGCAGUGCUGCAACUGAUCUAGCUAAUGAUGUGACCAAUCAUGGUAGUUUUCCAUUCCUCUUUAAAAGUCCUUAUGAAACCCAGGCUUUUCUUCUAUAGCAGCCAAAAAACAUUCUUCUCCAAACUGUCUUGUGCCAUUUAACACCUUGCCAGAAUGGAUGAGUCUCAAGCAUCAGAUUGCAGCCAAAUCUUAACCCUCACAUUUUCCUGUUCACAUCAGACAUGAGUAUAUACUUUAAAUGUGUACAUUGUUAGAUGGUUAUUAAUGCUGCUAUAGGAUCUUUAUAGUGUUGACUACAAUCAUGUAUGAAUGCCCGCCUUGGACAGAGCACUCUGGAUAUCAUUUGAACCUGCACCAGUGACUGAAUAUAUUAUUGAUCAACCAAAUUUAAUGCUGUGUAUUGAUGUUCUCUAAGAAGAAGAUAACCAAAUCUGCUGCUCCACAAUUCACCAGCCUAGAAGAUGAGUGAUCAGGCAGUCAGCAAGUGACUCAGCUUCAUUUAUCCACACCUGAAGAGCUGGCUCACCUUUCUCCUGCACAACAAAAUAGGUGCUGACUAAAAAGUUGGCAAGGGUGGGCGAGCACCUGUUGAUAGAAUACAUGACACAGGUCACAUUCAACCUACCUGUUGCUGUUGUAUUAGCUAUUCUUUGGUAUAUAAUUGCAGGCACAUCUGACAUGGUAUGCUUUCCUUGCACGUGAUUUUUAAUAUGCAAGUCCUAUAUAACUCUUAUGCCUGAAUAUGGAAUGUAAACACAAAUAAACGGCCUCGGCCCAGUAUACCUGAAGGAGCUUCUCCACCCCCAGUGUUCAGCCCAGACACUGAGGUCCAGCACCGAGGGCCUUCUGGCGGUUCCCUCACUGUGAGGAGUGAGGUUGCAGGGAACCAGGCAGAGGGCCUUCUCAGCAGUGGCUCCUGCCCUGUGGAACACCCUCCCAUCAGAUGUCAAGGAAAUAAACAACUAUCUGACUUUUAGAAGACAUCUGAAGGCAACCCUGUAUCGGGAAAUGUUUAAUGUCUAAUGUUUUACAAUUUUUUAAUGUGUUGUAAGCUGCCCAGAGUGGCUGGGAAAACCCAGCCAGAUGGGCGGUGUAUAAAUAAAAGAAUAAUAAUAAUAAUAAUAAUAAUAAUAAUAAUAAUAAUAAUGGGACACUGGGAGAGGAGUGAAUUUCAGACCCAUCCCAACACACACACCUCUUCAUCUGCUUGCACAAUCUGGAACAGAGCCUUGUUGCUCAGAGAAUUCUAUGUGUGCUCAGUCAAACAUAGGUAGUUACUGGCAAGAGAUGGCCAUGGGCCAUACUUUCUUAUACCACCUACCCAAUGCAAAUUUAGAUUUUUUAAAUAACCAAAUAAACAUGAAAAUUAUAUUUGAAUAUGUGUAAUCCAUGCUGUUAUAAUUAUUUUAAGCUAGACUCCACUGGCAGCAAUCAAUCUUUGUGGGGCGCCCACCCCAGAACUUGUGCCUGUGUUGGGACACCACCGGCACCUCCCUAGUUACCACUUAUAAUAUAAUUUUUGCAAGUGUCUCUUACCCAACAGAUUACCCUGAGGGGAUGUAGCCCUUAAGAGAGACAGAAAUCCCAAACCUUGGUUUGCUGAGAAUUUCUCAAUGUACACCAAUUGUAAUCUGAGCCAAAUCUGCCCUCUAAAGGGUCAGUCCUUCUUCACAGCAAAUUGUGCCUUUCCAUCAUCAGUUUGCAACAGAAAAUCACCAUUCUUUUUCUGUUUCAGUCUCUGAAGACAAAUAAUAUAGGAAGAAUGUGUAAUUCCAUUUGAAUGUCAUUGCUGCUAUUCCCAUCCUCAACAUUAAGUUUCCCAGUACAGCACCUCAGUUUCCCAGUACAGUGUACGCUCGGGUUGCGAACGUGAUCGUGCGGGAUACACGUUCGCAACCUGCAGCAUCCGCAACCCGCGGUGGCGCGUCUGCGCACAUGCAGGUCACGAUUUAACGCUUCUGUGCAUGCGCAACCGCCGAAACCCGGAAUUAACUCAUUCCAGUACUUCUGGCUUUCUGCGAUCCAUAACCCAAAAAAAACGCAACCUGAAGCGUCUGUAACCCGAGGUAUGACUGUAAUGCCAAUGGACUUCAACACAGUGCUACAUUGUUUGUAAUUGUGUAGUGGUACCUCAGUUUAAGAAGGGCCCUGUUUAUGAACUCUUCGGUAGAUGGACUCUGCAAAACCAGAAGUGUUCCAGUUAGUGAACUUUACCUCGGUCUAAGAACGGAAUCUGAAUGGUGGAAGGGCACCGGCGGUGGGAGGCCUCAUUAGGGAAAGCGCGCCUUGGUUUAAGAACAGCUUUGGUUUAAGAACGGACUUCUGGAACGGAUUAAGUUCAUAAACUGAGGCACCACUGUAUUGGUGGAUGCAACUGAUAUAAGAAAGCACAAUUUUCUGAUAGGUCAAUUUCUUCUCAAGGCAAUCAAUUUUAUGAGUUUUCUUCUUACUUGUUCAGUUGUUUUAAAAAAAACUUUUCAGCACCCGUUUCUUGAAUUUCUGCACUGCAUCGCGGGAUUAAUCUCUCACACAAAGUCACCCAAUAUUAACAGUGACAUGACGUGCUAGAAAGAGAAUCGUGUUGACCUUUUCAAAGCAUUAAUCAGCUCUGCUUUGGAACAAUGGAUGUUGAAAGAUGCUGUUUUAAAAAUGUGACUUCUGGAAGAGCUUUUGAACAGAAAGGAAAUUGUACAAGAUAAUUUAACUGGUCAAUAAACCUAGCGAUGCGCUUGCUUUGCUCUUGAGGGAUAUCCAUCUAAAUGCUUUUGGAGUGGAAAUGGUGUCAGGGGACACUUUUGUAGCUGUCUAUGUGAAAAAGUGCCCUGCGAUGCUUCAUGCUUUAUUCAUCAGCCAAGACUUAACACCUCAGGAUUCUAUAAAUUAAAUAUUAAUUGUUUUUAUAGGAUCCCUAAAAACAUGGUGUAUUCAUUAAGUUAGCUUGCACGUAUCUAGUCUCCAAGGGGGAAACAAUCUAUCCCAAUUGAGGAUACUUUUGGGCCAGUUUAAUCAGGACAAUCGCUUUUGAAUGGUAAGGCUAAAACCAAUUAAUGACAGAGAUGGAGUCAUGGGGAAAACACAGAUACUCUAGUUAGUAUAACAGGAGAAAACUUUUACAAUUGGGGCUUAAGGUGGCUGUGUGUACUUUGUUUUGGAGGGCAGUGCUAUAGCUAAAGGGCUGUCUGGUCCAUGUCCUGUUUAAAGACAUUGGGUGGCAUCCAGUCUUAGUCAUACUUAAUUUCAAUGGGCCUACUCUAACAUUUCAUUGGGUUUAUUCUUGGCUUGACUAAGACUGGAUCAAACCCAAGGAACCAUAAGGGAGAGCAUGGGCCUUGAACUUGUUAAUCAACAGUCACCUGGACAAGAGACUGGGCAGACACACAGGUGACCCUGUCUCAGUCUUCAUCACUAUGGUUAUAUUUCUUGUAUUUCUAUUUGAAUUUUAGUAAUCAUUUCUAAAUGUUCAUCUAGGCAUAUAAAUUAGCAUAUGCAAACUUUAUGCAAAAUUUGCCCUAUUUUGGUGGUAUGUACCAUCCUGUUGGUACUGCAUGUGUUGAAAAUAAAAAUCCAGGAACACUUAAGUACAGCUUUGGAUUUUAUGGAGAACUAUGACAUAGUUCUGACUGGACAAGCUUCGUUAACUUCUGUUCUGUUUUCAAGCCCUGUUGAAAAUAUUAAUAGCAUCAAUUCAUCAGUAAAAGCCCAGAGAGAUGUGGAAAAAUAACUUCUAUCUAGAUGAACAUCCAGGCAUAAAUCUGAUGCUAAAGAGAGAGACAGAGCAGUGUCUUGUGAGGUGUUUAUGUGUCUGUCUCUUUGGCUCUGUGUGUGGUCAGAGAAUUGUGAAGAGAUAGUCAUCUCUAUCCCUUACAAACCAGUUUGUAAGAGUGAGAAUCUCCCACCUACAGUAUGUGCUCUAAAAAGCUAUUUUUCUCUCUCUUGACUAGUGUCAGGGAAUACAAACUGUGGUAGUUCCAUGCGGGUCCACUAUGGAAGUAUACACUGAGCUCUAGUUCCAGAAAUCUCUUCCAAGAUGGAAAGGUCACUAUGCAUUUCUUUGAAAUCUGGGGGCAGGGGGUGGGACCAUACACCAAUACAAGACUGCUCAGGGCCAAACUAGAAAAAUUGCAUUGGCUGGCUCUGAAAGAAUCUGUGUGAAUGAGGGCAGAAUCAUGCUCACUGUAACAUGCAACUGCUUUUUAUUCUUCUGUCUGGAGUUUGGAUUAUAGCUCAUCCAAUUUCAUUUUGAAAGGGCACUAUGUUCUUUCCCUCUCACAAAAAAAUUAAUACUAGAUAAGCCUGCUUAUAUUGAAAAACUGGUAAUGCUUAAAAAUAAUAAAACAGAAGAAGAAAAUGUUAAGUUCAUGUCUCAGGGCAGGAGUAGGUAUUUGAAACUUGUGGCUGUGGUUAACAAAUGUACUCAGCAUUUGCCAGCGGGGAUGCUGAAAAAGAAGGGCUGUAGCUCAGUAGUAGAGCAUCUGAUUAUUAUUAUUAUUAUUAUUAUUAUUAUUAUUAUUAUUAUUAUCCCACCCAUCUGACUGGGUAGCUUCCAACAGAUAUAAAAGCAUAAUAAAACAUCUAUCAUUAAAUGCUUCCCUGUACAGGGCUGCCUUCUGAUGUCUCCUAAAAGUUGUCGUUCUUUAUCUUGUUGACAUCUGAUGGCAGGGUGUUCCACAGGAUGGGUGCCACUACCGAGAAGGCCCUCUGCCUGGUUCUCUGUAAUCUCAAUUCUCACAGUGAGAGAACAGCCAGAAGGUCCUCAGAGGUGGACCUCAGUGUCCCGGUUGAACGAUGGGGGUGGAGACACUCCAUCAAGUAUACAGGGCCAAGGCAUGCAGAAGAUUCCCAGUUCAGGUAUGGCUGGGAAAGACUGCACUGACUCCACUGAGCAAGAUGGAUAAAUAAGAUUUUGUAAGAUCGUUUUGUAAGUUCAAGCUCUUUGUGUUCUUUGUCUCUGUGGCAAGCCAGGAAGCGACUGGACAAAGUAAUGUGGGUGAAAGAAGAGAGAAUCAAGACAAGAGUGGAAAUGCUGGUUCAAAAUGUCAUGAUCAAUCACACUGACCAAAACAUUACUCAAGAAAUAGAGCUGGCCAUUGUCAAUCCCAGGACACCUUUCAAAUAUUCUGAAGAAAGAGUGUGUUCUAAAUAAAUGAGAGUGCCAAUCAAUAGAAAAGCAAACAGAGACACUUCUUGAAAGGCAGGGGUUGAAUGUGCAAAGAGAGAACGUACAUUUCAAACAGGCUAGAAUCAGAUGGAGGGCAAGAUCUGACCUUUGGUAAAGGUUUUUCUGCUGUAUGUUGGGAAGUAAAUUAAAUUUCCUUUGCUCUCCUUUAUAACAGAACAAGAUGGUCCAGCAGCAAAGAUGCACAAAUAUUUAUUGCCAUUGGUAGACCUUUCCAGUGGCAAUUUGCUUUGUUUACCAAAAAUUAGAAGAGCAUGAGAAAACAGCUUAUCAGACUAGCCCUCGUACUUGCAAAGGUUACUGAUUCUGGGGGGAGAUGAAAAUAAAACCAGAAUUCGUGUAGAAAGAAAGACAAUUGUUUAUCUCAAAAAUGUUUGUGGAGGAAAUAUAUUUCUGCUUGUUGAACCUGGAAUGCAUCUGUAAAAGGAAAGGUGUGGAUUGAUAUUUGGGGGGAAGUUGAUAUAAGGCCAGAGUAUUCUGUGCCAUGUCAUUGUUGCAAUAAUAGUGUGUUACUGGUGAAUACAUACUGGAUCAUGCCCACAUCAUUCCACCUUAUUAGUUGUUCUGUGAUGCUUCCUCAAUAUUUCCACAUUACUGCCAUCUGGAGAGCUACUCUUGCACUAUAGCACAACAAAAGCAGGACAAAAAUAAUCUGGAACAAAAUAAAAGUUACUGGGGUGGCGGAGUUUAAUUGGAGUGCCAGCCAUCCCAGUGCCAGCCAUAGACUGAAAGAGUCGGAGGAUGUGCUCCUUUUCCGGAAGAGCUUUCCAGCAACUGAAAGGACCACAAGAUCUCUGCUUUUUAUGCUAUCCUUGUAUUCUAGUCUAGCAAAAAAGCCCUGUUAAAAUAUCAACUUGGAAUUUCUUUUAUUGCCUACAUGAAUAAUAAUAAUCCUUGUCAAGAAAGAUGCUGCUGUGGUUUACCAUCCCAUACUAUACCGAAUGUAUUUGGGAGGGUGUUUUUAGGUUGUAGGAAUACAGUCAUGUAUCCCAAUGUUUCACUUUUCUUGCAGCCUCUGCCUUCCUUUGAGCAAGCUUAGAAGAACACAGUUCUGUAUUACGUCUUCCCCACUGUCUUUACAUUAUGCUGGUUAUGGGGGGCCCUCGGGCUGUUGUUGAACUAUAACUCCCAUCAUCCCUAACCAUUGGUCAUGCUUGCUGGGGCUUAUGGGAGUUGUACCUCAGCAAAAUUGGGUAGGCCCACUGUUUCCCCACACCUGCAUUAAAUUAUGCUACCUGUCUGCUUCUUGUUCUUGUUAUGUGCAAAUACAUUAGGGAUAGUGUUUGUUUAUAACCACAGGCAACUUGUUUACUAGCCCAGAUGCAGCCUUAACUGAGAUAAAAAGAAAUUAAGAUGAUCUGGAGAAAGAUACAGCAGAGGAGGAGCGGUGGGGAAUCAUCAGACUGAAUCAGAUCCUUCAUUACAGGCUUCUCUAAAAUAGUUUUGGAACAUAAUGCUGCACUAAUCUUCUCCCUACAAUCAUAUUUAAAUUGCUUUUGAUGUGACCAGAAAACAUAAUCAAAAGAUUCCCUUUUCCUGUUCUUUUGACAAGCGCAGUAAAAAAAAUACAGCCUAGAAGCACAAGACAUACCAUUAGCAAACAAGAAGUAAUAAAAGCAAUCAGCCCUACAAAAGUCUACUCAAAAGUAAGUCCCACUGAGCUCAAUGGGGCUUACAUCCCAUUGCAGGCUAAAUGAACCCUCUUUAUAAAUGAAAAGUCUGAUUCUGCAUUGUCCAAUAGACAAUAUCCUAUGCUUGUCAUAUCAGAGGAGACACACCGAAAUCAAUGGACCUAAAUGACAAGCUACAAAAUAGUGAGCAAGCUUUUCAGUCCACCAGAAUGCUUCAUCAGGAAGCAUGUCAACCAAAACAAGGGUUUUAAGACAGAAAAAACCAAAGAAUUCUAGGCCUUGUAGUUUACCUUUCACAGAUUUACAAUUCCCAGUAACCCUUAACAAACUGGAGUAUCCAUAAUUAUCAUUUUUUUGGAAAUGGACUUUAAAGAUAUUUUGUGUUCAGUCUGCUCACGCAAUGUUGGACACAAGCCUAUGUCUUUUACAUAUUGUAUUUCCUGCGUGCAUUUAAAGCACACAAACCCAAAGAGAAUCCUUGGAAUUGUACUUUUCUCCUCACAGAGCUACAGUUCCCAUGAUUCGUGUGUGUGUGUGUGUGUGUGUGUGUUUUCUUUAAAUGUAUGGUGUGUACAGAGUCACUGUGAAAGUGUUGCAUGGAAUAGAUAUGUCACACUUACCAUUCAGUUUUCUUGAACUGGGCAAGCCCCGUGUCCCAGGACCACUGUUUGCUGUUUGGAAUCACCUUCCAGUUUGUGUCGGUGUGCAUUCACAGCAGUCUGAAACAAGCCUAGCUGAUCUGGAUUUCAGCCUAAUAUUGUGACUGCAAUGAAGCUGCUCAGACAGCACUACCCAGUCUGCCACUUUAUUAAUUUCUGUCAGUUGAACUGGUUCAUUUCGAUUGUUUCCAGGUCAGCUGGAGAACUGAAAACAACCAACAAGAUUAUCUGUGGCUUGCAGGGAUGAAAAGAUGGAUGAGCUGCCGUUUAAAGGAUCCCCACACCGUAGAGUCAUCAUCUGCUGCAGGGAGCAUAUGGAAGUGUUUCUAAAAAGACUGUUGUGCAUUCCACAUGUGUUAAUAGCAACUUCAGGGGGCAAUUUCCAUGGGGACUCCAGCAGUAUAAAGCCCCUAUCCUAUGUUUCUAAGUCCUGA
rnacentral:lncRNA from 1 species